AGGUUCUCUAAAUAUUCCAAUUUAAAAAAGCAUGUCACUAAGUUUCAUCCAGGUGAGGACAAAACUUCUAUUUAGUGCUUUUUGGCUAUUAUUGUAUACAGGAAUCAAUAGCGAACAUAUUUUAUUUUAUUUCAGAAAAUAUCAACGAGCUGACUUCAUCUAAGAUUUGCCCAUAUCAAUGCAGUGAAUGCCAGAAAAAGUUUUCACAUUUACAAAAUCUUA
rnacentral:lncRNA from 1 species